rnacentral:rRNA from 1 species
ACACUCCUACGGGAGGCAGCAGUGGGGAAUAUUGGACAAUGGGCGCAAGCCUGAUCCAGCCAUGCCGCGUGAGUGAUGAAGGCCCUAGGGUUGUAAAGCUCUUUUGUGCGGGAAGAUAAUGACGGUACCGCAAGAAUAAGCCCCGGCUAACUUCGUGCCAGCAGCCGCGGUAAUACGAAGGGGGCUAGCGUUGCUCGGAAUCACUGGGCGUAAAGGGUGCGUAGGCGGGUCUUUAAGUCAGGGGUGAAAUCCUGGAGCUCAACUCCAGAACUGCCUUUGAUACUGAAGAUCUUGAGUUCGGGAGAGGUGAGUGGAACUGCGAGUGUAGAGGUGAAAUUCGUAGAUAUUCGCAAGAACACCAGUGGCGAAGGCGGCUCACUGGCCCGAUACUGACGCUGAGGCACGAAAGCGUGGGGAGCAAACAGGAUUAGAAACCCUAGUAGUCCC